UACGUAGGGUCCGAGCGUUGUCCGGAAUUACUGGGCGUAAAGAGCUCGUAGGUGGUUCGUCACGUUGUUCGUGAAAACUCACAGCUUAACUGUGGGCGUGCGGGCGAUACGGGCAGACUAGAGUACUGCAGGGGAGACUGGAAUUCCUGGUGUAGCGGUGGAAUGCGCAGAUAUCAGGAGGAACACCGGUGGCGAAGGCGGGUCUCUGGGCAGUAACUGACGCUGAGGAGCGAAAGCGUGGGGAGCGAACAGG
rnacentral:rRNA from 1 species